UACAGAGGGUGCGAGCGUUAAUCGGAAUUACUGGGCGUAAAGCGUGCGUAGACGGUUAGCGUAAGUCAGAUGUGAAAGCCCCGGGCUCAACCUGGGAACUGCAUUUGAGACUGCUCUGCUCGGGUGCGGAAGAGGGAAGCGGAAUUUCCGGUGUAGCGGUGAAAUGCGUAGAUAUCGGAAGGAACACCAGUGGCGAAAGCGGCUUCCGUGGCCGACACCGACGUU
rnacentral:rRNA from 1 species